UACGUAGGGUGCAAGCGUUAAUCGGAAUUACUGGGCGUAAAGCGUGCGCAGGCGGUUGUGCAAGACAGGUGUGAAAUCCCCGGGCUUAACCUGGGAACUGCACUUGUGACUGCACGGCUGGAGUACGGCAGAGGGGGAUGGAAUUCCGCGUGUAGCAGUGAAAUGCGUAGAUAUGCGGAGGAACACCGAUGGCGAAGGCAGUCCCUGGGCCUGUACUGACGCUCAUGCACGAAAGCGUGGGGAGCAACAGG
rnacentral:rRNA from 1 species